rnacentral:RNase_P_RNA from 1 species
UCAGAUUUCCAGAGAGUCGCUGGUGUGAAACAUCACCAGAGGAAAGUCCGAACUCCGCAGGGCACGACGCCGGAUAACAUCCGGGCAGGGCGACCUGAUAGAUAGCGCCACAGAAAGCAAACCGCCGUUGCAAUGACAACGGUAAGGGUGAAACGGAGGUGUAAGAGACCCCCAGCAGUUCUGGUAACAGGGCUGGCUCGGUAAACCUCGUCGGGAGCAAGACCAAAUAGGAAGGUAGCGGUUGCCCGCCGCGCUUGACCUUCGGGUAGGUCGCAAGAGGUGCUUGGAGACAAGCAUCCCAGAUAAAUGACUCUCCAUUUUCAUUGACUUAGGUCAAUGAAAAUUGACAGAAUUCGGCUUACCGGAAAUCUGACGAU